GGGGGUGAACGGUUUCGACUCCUGAAGCCGACCGAGGAGAAGCGUGCCGAGGAAGGCGACGAUGAUCUCGUUAACCACACGUCGCAAAAAAAUAAGUGCCGACGAGAGUCAGCACGCCCCGGUUCAGGGCGCCCGCGCGGACUUCGCGCUCGCGGCCUGAUCCACUAGUGGGCUGUCGGCCCGCGGGCGUUCCCGCCGCGGUGUCCGGCAUCAGCUAGGGAACUCACCGUCCAGCCCGGCCGUCGGGGGUGGACGGGACAUCUCACAGCGGCUGGGAUCGUCACACCGGCUUGUUCGCGAGACCGGUGGAUCCGAGUAGAGACACAGCGGACUGCGCACGGAGAAUGCCUCGCAACGCAAGGGAGGACCCGGGUUCGAUUCCCGGCACCUCCACCC
rnacentral:tmRNA from 1 species